rnacentral:lncRNA from 1 species
AGGGGAAUGGACACCUCAGGCUUCUCAAAGCCCCAUCCAUUCUGGCCUUCAGCACUUCCAGGGAUGAGGCAUCCACAGCUUCUCCACAGGGCAACCUGUUCCACUGUCUCUCACCAUUCUCACAAUGAAGAAAUGCUUUAACGCUGUUUCAUUUUUUCAGGAACUUCAGGUCACCUGGAAGAUGUGUAGAGCAGCUGUAACAAUGAGGAAAAUGAAUUUUGGAACAAAUUUAGAAAAGUCUUGUCAAAUUCACCAUAAAUUUGCAUCAUUUACCAAGAUGGGACAGCUUCCCAAAUGUCCUUUAAUCUUACCUAAAACGGGAAGAGAAACAGGAGAAACACAACUUGCGUCUCCUAUUUCAAGAAGAAGUAAGAAAAAUCUUGGUCCAAAAACUGAAAAAAAGUUUAAGGAAAUCUGAAAGUCUGGAGCUAUCAGAAAGUGGAAAAUGCAGCUUUCAAAUUAAAUGAGAACCUCUGAAUUUGAAGUCCAGUUUAUUUCUUGAAUUUCAUCAGGACUGGGGCCCAGUCCCAUGCACUGUGUCCCUCCUUCACCCUCUUUUAGCAGCAGCCACCCAUCCUAGUGAGGCUCACAACAGAUCCAAUCCCAG